rnacentral:tRNA from 1 species
GCCCACUUAGCUCAGUUUGUAAGAGCUUCAGUCUUGAAAGUUGAGGUCCCAGGUUCAAUUCCUGGAGUGAACA